UUUGUCGACGCCUCACUUCCUGGCCAUGUGUGUCUGCUGUCCCGAUCGCUCUACGGGCUCAAGCAAGCACCCCGCGCCUGGUACCAGCGGAUCGCCGGGUUUCUUCAGACACUGGGUUUCAGCGUCACUCAUUCGGAUGCCUCAUUGUUUGUCUAUCGCCACGGUGACACAACUGCAUAUUUGCUCCUUUACGUCGACGACAUCAUCCUGACGGCCUCCUCCGCAGCUCUUCUUCAGCAGAUUACUCUUCGGCUGCGUGACGAGUUUGCCAUCAAGGACUUGGGUGCUCUACAUUAUUUC
rnacentral:rRNA from 1 species